GGUUAAGCGACUAAGCGUACACGGUGGAUGCCCUGGCAGUCAGAGGCGAUGAAGGACGUGCUAAUCUGCGAUAAGCGUCGGUAAGGUGAUAUGAACCGUUAUAACCGGCGAUUUCCGAAUGGGGAAACCCAGUGUGUUUCGACACACUAUCAUUACGUGAAUACAUAGCGUAAUGAAGCGAACCGGGGGAACUGAAACAUCUAAGUACCCCGAGGAAAAGAAAUCAACCGAGAUUCCCCCAGUAGCGGCGAGCGAACGGGGAGCAGCCCAGAGUCUGAAUCAGCUUGUGUGUUAGUGGAACGGUCUGGAAAGUCCGACGGUACAGGGUGAUAGUCCCGUACACCAAAAUGCACAGGUUGUGAACUCGAAGAGUAGGGCGGGACACGUGGUAUCCUGUCUGAAUAUGGGGGGACCAUCCUCCAAGGCUAAAUACUCCUGACUGACCGAUAGUGAACCAGUACCGUGAGGGAAAGGCGAAAAGAACCCCGGCGAGGGGAGUGAAAAAGAACCUGAAACCGUGUACGUACAAGCAGUGGGAGCCUCUUUAUGGGGUGACUGCGUACCUUUUGUAUAAUGGGUCAGCGACUUAUAUUCUGUAGCAAGGUUAACCGUAUAGGGGAGCCGAAGGGAAACCGAGUCUUAACUGGGCGUUAAGUUGCAGGGUAUAGACCCGAAACCCGGUGAUCUAGCCAUGGGCAGGUUGAAGGUUGGGUAACACUAACUGGAGGACCGAACCGACUAAUGUUGAAAAAUUAGCGGAUGACUUGUGGCUGGGGGUGAAAGGCCAAUCAAACCGGGAGAUAGCUGGUUCUCCCCGAAAGCUAUUUAGGUAGCGCCUCGUGAAUUCAUCUUCGGGGGUAGAGCACUGUUUCGGCUAGGGGGUCAUCCCGACUUACCAACCCGAUGCAAACUGCGAAUACCGAAGAAUGUUAUCACGGGAGACACACGGCGGGUGCUAACGUCCGUCGUGAAGAGGGAAACAACCCAGACCGCCAGCUAAGGUCCCAAAGUCAUGGUUAAGUGGGAAACGAUGUGGGAAGGCACAGACAGCCAGGAUGUUGGCUUAGAAGCAGCCAUCAUUUAAAGAAAGCGUAAUAGCUCACUGGUCGAGUCGGCCUGCGCGGAAGAUGUAACGGGGCUAAACCAUGCACCGAAGCUGCGGCAGCGACACUAUGUGUUGUUGGGUAGGGGAGCGUUCUGUAAGCCGUUGAAGGUGGCCUGUGAGGGUUGCUGGAGGUAUCAGAAGUGCGAAUGCUGACAUAAGUAACGAUAAUGCGGGUGAAAAACCCGCACGCCGGAAGACCAAGGGUUCCUGUCCAACGUUAAUCGGGGCAGGGUGAGUCGACCCCUAAGGCGAGGCCGAAAGGCGUAGUCGAUGGGAAACAGGUUAAUAUUCCUGUACUUGGUGUUACUGCGAAGGGGGGACGGAGAAGGCUAUGUUAGCCGGGCGACGGUUGUCCCGGUUUAAGCAUGUAGGCGGAGGUUCCAGGUAAAUCCGGUACCUUUUAACGCUGAGGUGUGAUGACGAGGCACUACGGUGCUGAAGUAACAAAUGCCCUGCUUCCAGGAAAAGCCUCUAAGCAUCAGGUAACACGAAAUCGUACCCCAAACCGACACAGGUGGUCAGGUAGAGAAUACCAAGGCGCUUGAGAGAACUCGGGUGAAGGAACUAGGCAAAAUGGUGCCGUAACUUCGGGAGAAGGCACGCUGAUAUGUAGGUGAAGUGAUUUACUCAUGGAGCUGAAAUCAGUCGAAGAUACCAGCUGGCUGCAACUGUUUAUUAAAAACACAGCACUGUGCAAACACGAAAGUGGACGUAUACGGUGUGACGCCUGCCCGGUGCCGGAAGGUUAAUUGAUGGGGUUAUCCGUAAGGAGAAGCUCUUGAUCGAAGCCCCGGUAAACGGCGGCCGUAACUAUAACGGUCCUAAGGUAGCGAAAUUCCUUGUCGGGUAAGUUCCGACCUGCACGAAUGGCGUAAUGAUGGCCAGGCUGUCUCCACCCGAGACUCAGUGAAAUUGAACUCGCUGUGAAGAUGCAGUGUACCCGCGGCAAGACGGAAAGACCCCGUGAACCUUUACUAUAGCUUGACACUGAACACUGGUCCUUGAUGUGUAGGAUAGGUGGGAGGCUUUGAAGUGUGGACGCCAGUCUGCAUGGAGCCAUCCUUGAAAUACCACCCUUUAAUGGCUGGUGUUCUAACGUGGACCCGUAAUCCGGGUUGCGGACAGUGUCUGGUGGGUAGUUUGACUGGGGCGGUCUCCUCCUAAAGAGUAACGGAGGAGCACGAAGGUUAGCUAAUCCUGGUCGGACAUCAGGAGGUUAGUGCAAAGGCAUAAGCUAGCUUGACUGCGAGAGUGACGGCUCGAGCAGGUGCGAAAGCAGGUCUUAGUGAUCCGGUGGUUCUGAAUGGAAGGGCCAUCGCUCAACGGAUAAAAGGUACUCCGGGGAUAACAGGCUGAUACCGCCCAAGAGUUCAUAUCGACGGCGGUGUUUGGCACCUCGAUGUCGGCUCAUCACAUCCUGGGGCUGAAGUAGGUCCCAAGGGUAUGGCUGUUCGCCAUUUAAAGUGGUACGCGAGCUGGGUUUAGAACGUCGUGAGACAGUUCGGUCCCUAUCUGCCGUGGGCGCUGGAGAAUUGAGGGGGGCUGCUCCUAGUACGAGAGGACCGGAGUGGACGCAUCACUGGUGUUCGGGUUGUCAUGCCAAUGGCAUUGCCCGGUAGCUAAAUGCGGAAGAGAUAAGUGCUGAAAGCAUCUAAGCACGAAACUUGCCCCGAGAUGAGUUCUCCCUGAGACUAUAAGUCUCCUGAAGGAACGUUAAAGACGAUGACGUUGAUAGGUCGGGUGUGUAAGUGUAGCGAUACAUUGAGCUAACCGAUACUAAUGAACCGUGAGGCUUAACCUU
rnacentral:rRNA from 1 species